rnacentral:rRNA from 1 species
GAUGAACGCUGGCGGCGUGCCUAAUACAUGCCAGUCGAGCGAACAGACGAGAGUGCUUGCACUCUCUGACGUUAGCGGCGGACGGGUGAGUAACACGUGGGUAACCUACCUAUAAGACUGGGAUAACUUCGGGAAACCGGAGCUAAUACCGGAUAAUAUUUAGCUUCGCAUGAAGCAAUAGUGAAAGACGGUUCUGCUGUCACUUAUAGAUGGACCCGCGGUGUAUUAGCUAGUUGGUGAGGUAACGGCUCACCAAGGCAACGAUACAUAGCCGACCUGAGAGGGUGAUCGGCCACACUGGGACUGAGACACGGACCAGACUCCUACGGGAGGCAGCAGUAGGGAAUCUUCCGCAAUGGACGAAAGUCUGACGGAGCAAUGCCGCGUGAGUGAAGAAGGUUUUCGGAUCGUAAAACUCUGUUGUAAGGGAAGAACAAGUACGUUAGUAACUGAACGUACCUUGACGGUACCUUACCAGAAAGCCACGGCUAACUACGUG